rnacentral:rRNA from 1 species
GCCAGACUCCUACGGGAGGCAGCAGUGGGGAAUAUUGCACAAUGGGGGAAACCCUGAUGCAGCGACGCCGCGUGAAGGAAGAAGUAUUUCGGUAUGUAAACUUCUAUCAGCAGGGAAGAAGAUGACGGUACCUGACCAAGAAGCCCCGGCUAACUACGUGCCAGCAGCCGCGGUAAUACGUAGGGGGCAAGCGUUAUCCGGAUUUACUGGGUGUAAAGGGAGCGCAGACGGCAGUGCAAGUCUGGAGUGAAAGGCCGGGGCCCAGCCCCGGAACUGCUCUGGAAACUGUGCGGCUAGAGUACUGGAGGGGCAGGCGGAAUUCCUAGUGAAGCGGUGAAAUGCGUAGAUAUUAGGAGGAACACCAGUGGCGAAGGCGGCCUGCUGGACAGUAACUGACGUUGAGGCUCGAAAGCGUGGGGAGCAAACAGGAUUAGAUACCCUUGUAGAC